AUUGUACGAGACAUUGCUCAAGCUUUAUCUUACUUGCAUCAUGAUUGUAAUCCAUCUAUUGUUCAUCGAGAUAUAACAAGCAACAAUAUUCUUUUGGAUAAAGAGUACAAGGCUUGUGUUGCGGACUUUGGUAUUUCUCGAUUGCUAAAAUCUAAUUCUUCACAUUGGAGUUUGCUUGCAGGCACAUAUGGGUACAUGGCACUAGCACUUGAAGUGAUACAUGGAACGCAUCAUGGGGAUCUCCUAACCAACUUAUCAUUGAGUAUGCUAGUGAAAGAUAUGCUAGAUUCACGUCUUCCCCUUCAUAAUACCGAUCAAGUGACCACAAACCAAGUGCUUUUGGUGAUUUUGAUAGCAAUGCAGUGCUUCGAUACCGUUCCACAAGCUCGCCCUACAAUGCUAGAAGUAUCUCAAAGGUUGUCUUCUCCAAAGUCUUUGCCAGCAUCUGACAACCAUUCUUAUCAGGCACUUACACUUAAUCACCUCAUAAACAUUGUGUAAGUGCAUAUUGAUGAUCAAGCGCAUGAAUAAUGGGAACUUAGGAAUUUAACCAAAGGUGCUAGUUUGUGAAUGGCCUUGAGUUGUGACAAGCUGUGAAUGGAG